rnacentral:misc_RNA from 1 species
UCCGAAGGGCAUGCCUGUUUGAGUGUCUUAUAAACCUCACCCCUAAUGUUUUAUUACAAUAGUUGGUGCUUUGGGUGUUGCCAUUUACCUGGCUCGCCUUAAAUGUCUAAGUGGAAUGCGUAAUAAGUUCUCGCAACCCUCCACUCUAAUACAAUUUAUAUUCUGACCUCAAAUCAGGUAGGACUACCCGCUGAACUUAA